rnacentral:rRNA from 1 species
AACGGGUGAGUAACGCGUGAGGAACCUGCCUCAAANAGGGGGACAACAGUUGGAAACGACUGCUAAUACCGCAUAAGCCCACGGGUCGGCAUCGACCAGAGGGAAAAGGAGCAAUCCGCUUUGAGAUGGCCUCGCGUCCGAUUAGCUAGUUGGUGAGGUAAUGGCCCACCAAGGCGACGAUCGGUAGCCGGACUGAGAGGUUGAACGGCCACAUUGGGACUGAGACACGGCCCAGACUCCUACGGGAGGCAGCAUG